CUACAGUAUUACAAGAAAAAGUGACUUUGUCUUUCAGGAAGGAGAUUUUUUAUGGACUGAUGGCUCAGACGUUAAUUUCGUUGACUGGGCUCCUGGCAGGCCAAGAACAACGGAUACAAAUCAAGACUGUGCAGAGAUCAACUUUCAAGGUGAAUUAUGGAACGAUCGACCGUGUGGUCGUCGACGAUCUUUUGUUUGUGCCAAGGACUUGAAAAACUUCUAAGACAAUCAGGACCCCCCCUUCAUCAUUGUUCCUUUGCAACGUGCUUUUCACUAUUACAAAGAAUCUUGGUGGCAAGCAAUCAGUUGUUCAAAAUUGUUCUUUUACAUAGUAAAAAACACUGGUACAACCAACUUGGACACUCAAACCAUAUCCGAUGAAUAAAUCAAUCUCUUUGAGCAGGUG